rnacentral:rRNA from 1 species
GAUGAACGCUGGCGGCGUGCCUAAUACAUGCAAGUCGAGCGAACAGACGAGGAGCUUGCUCCUCUGACGUUAGCGGCGGACGGGUGAGUAACACGUGGAUAACCUACCUAUAAGACUGGGAUAACUUCGGGAAACCGGAGCUAAUACCGGAUAAUAUAUUGAACCGCAGGGUUCAAUAGUGAAAGACGGUUUUGCUGUCACUUAUAGAUGGAUCCGCGCCGCAUUAGCUAGUUGGUAAGGUAACGGCUUACCAAGGCGACGAUGCGUAGCCGACCUGAGAGGGUGAUCGGCCACACUGGAACUGAGACACGGUCCAGACUCCUACGGGAGGCAGCAGUAGGGAAUCUUCCGCAAUGGGCGAAAGCCUUACGGAGCAACGCCGCGUGAGUGAUGAAGGUCUUCGGAUCGUAAAACUCUCUUAUUAGGUAAGAACAAAUGUGUAAGUAACUAUGCACGUCUUGACGGUACCUAAUCAGAAAGCCACGGCUAACUACGUG